AAGUCGUAACAAGGUAUCUGUAGGUGAACCUGCAGAUGGAUCAUUUUGAUGAAAAACCUUUUUUUUUUUUCGUGAGGUGUGGCUCGCACCUGUCUAACUAAACCGAGCUACCAUUUUCAACACGGUUGCACGGGGUAGGCCUGUCAGAUAGCGCGCGAAUUGAUUUUCGAGGCUGGACGACCGGGUCUACCACCAACAUUUAAACACUUUUUGAUGAUCUAGGAUUUGAAGGAAGUUCAUUUUACGAUGGAACCGACUGGUAAUGCGGUCGUCUAAAUCUAAAAAAUAACUUUUGGCAACGGAUCUCUUGGUUCUCC
rnacentral:misc_RNA from 1 species